rnacentral:rRNA from 1 species
UACAGGCUUAACACAUGCAAGUCGAGGGGAAACGACAUCGAAAGCUUGCUUUUGAUGGGCGCCGACCGGCGCACGGGUGAGUAACGCGUAUCCAACCUGCCCACCACUUGGGGAUAACCUUGCGAAAGUAAGACUAAUACCCAAUGACGUCUCUAGAAGACAUCUGAAAGAGAUUAAAGAUUUAUCGGUGAUGGAUGGGGAUGCGUCUGAUUAGCUUGUUGGCGGGGUAACGGCCCACCAAGGCUACGAUCAGUAGGGGUUCUGAGAGGAAGGUCCCCCACAUUGGAACUGAGACACGGUCCAAACUCCUACGGGAGGCAGCAGUGAGGAAUAUUGGUCAAUGGACGAGAGUCUGAACCAGCCAAGUAGCGUGCAGGAUGACGGCCCUAUGGGUUGUAAACUGCUUUUAUAAGGGAAUAAAGUGAGUCUCGUGAGACUUUUUGCAUGUACCUUAUGAAUAAGGACCGGCUAAUUCCGUGCCAGCAGCCGCGGUAAUACGGAAGGUCCGGGCGUUAUCCGGAUUUAUUGGGUUUAAAGGGAGCGUAGGCCGGAGAUUAAGCGUGUUGUGAAAUGUAGAUGCUCAACAUCUGCACUGCAGCGCGAACUGGUUUCCUUGAGUACGCACAAAGUGGGCGGAAUUCGUGGUGUAGCGGUGAAAUGCUUAGAUAUCACGAAGAACUCCGAUUGCGAAGGCAGCUCACUGGAGCGCAACUGACGCUGAAGCUCGAAAGUGCGGGUAUCGAACAGGAUUAGAUACCCUGGUAGUCCGCACGGUAAACGAUGGAUGCCCGCUGUUGGUCUGAAUAGGUCU